UUUUCAUUUGUUUGUUUGCUCAUUUACACAGGGUUUCAUGUACCCCAGGCUGUCCUCAAACUUGCUCUAUAGCUGAGGGUGACUUCUGGUUCUCCUGCUUCUAUCUCCUGAGCACUGGGAUGACAGAAUCUCAUGCAGGCCAAGACUGGCCUUGAACUCCUUUGUGGGACAGGAUGACGUUGGAUCUCUAGUUGCCUUGCCUCUACUUCCUGAAUGUGGAAACUUCCGAGGGGCACUACCACAUCUGGUCUUAUGCUGGGAUCAAACCAAAGAUGAUCCAACAACCAGAGUGAAGAUGGACAGCCGUGCCUCUCUUGGGUUUGAAGCCCUCUGAUGGUUUCACCUUUAACUAAAUCUUAACUGCCUGCUGUAGACUUCAAGGCUUUGCGUGACUUAUCAUUAGCUCUUCCCUCUCUCCGAAUUCCUCCGUACCUCUCCUCCUAUCUGGAUCCGUUCCCUUUCUGCUUCCCAUCAGAGAAAAACAGGCUUCUAAGAGAUAGCAACAGAACGUAACGACACAAAACCAAAGCCACCCCCUUGCAGUUGGACAAGGCAAACCAACAGGGGCCCGAGAAAAGAAAGACACAAGAAUCGGGGAUCCCCACUUGUGCACGCACACAGGGGCCCUAUGGAAACACUAAACUGGAAGCUGUCACAUAUACACAGAGGACCCGGUGCAGACCUACGUGGACCUUAUGCUUGCUGCUUCAGUCUCUGUGAGGUCGUGUGAGCUUUGCUCACUUGACUCAAAAGAACGUGCUCUCCCGGUGUGUUCUGUCCCCUCUGGCUCUUAUACUCUUUCUGCCUCCUCUUCCACAGUGUCC